rnacentral:rRNA from 1 species
CCUACGGGAGGCUGCAGUGAGGAAUAUUGGUCAAUGGACGAGAGUCUGAACCAGCCAAGUAGCGUGAAGGAUGACUGCCCUAUGGGUUGUAAACUUCUUUUAUAUGGGAAUAAAAUGUUCCACGUGUGGGAUUUUGUAUGUACCAUAUGAAUAAGGAUCGGCUAACUCCGUGCCAGCAGCCGCGGUAAUACGGAGGAUCCGAGCGUUAUCCGGAUUUAUUGGGUUUAAAGGGAGCGUAGGUGGAUUGUUAAGUCAGUUGUGAAAGUUUGCGGCUCAACCGUAAAAUUGCAGUUGAAACUGGCAGUCGUGAGUACAGUAGAGGUGGGCGGAAUUCGUGGUGUAGCGGUGAAAUGCUUAGAUAUCACGAAGAACUCCGAUGGCGAAGGCAGCUCACUGGACUGAAACUGACACUGAGGCUCGAAAGUGUGGGUAUCAAACAGGAUUAGAUACCCUUGUAGUC